rnacentral:lncRNA from 1 species
CGGAAAACUUGAGACUCUGGAACUGUUGGUGCCCUGUGACAGGAAGCCACACACAGACAAAUUUCCAGGCCUGCGCACGAAGAUUCCCGUUUACCCACCACUGAAGCUGAGGGACGUUGGCUCCAGGUCCUGCAGCAGUGCAGCACCAAGGUCACCAGACUCACAGCAGAGGUUGAUGGUCAGACACCCCCAGGGAAGCCUCCAGACGACCACCCACCUUGAACUCCUGCGUUCCGGGAACUUUACCUCCCUGCUUCUCCCAGUGUGCAGGUGGGUCAGCGGGGUCAGACCAGAGUCCGGAGAGAAGGGCCAGGCAGCAGACUUGGAAAACUGGGCGCUGGGGUAGGCAGCAGGACGGGGAGGCCACAGCCUGGCUCAGCCACCAACUCUCACAUGGCCCUCUCUGAACCUCGGUCUCUUCUAUAAAAUGAGAGAAAAGAGCCGGCUAACCAUGGAGGUUUGGGGGCACAAAAGAAGAACAUAUCACGUAUCAACAGGGAAAUCGAUGCCAGUGCAUCACAGGAGCUGAGAAGGGUAAGACCACGGAUCCUAGCCUGGGGUGCCGAUCCCAACCUCUGCCCGGCUCUGAAGAUGGCAGGCCCCGCCCUGGCUCCUCUCCACCAGGCCCUUCUCCAGACGCCACCCCUCAAGCAAGAAGAUAAUGUGUUUUAUCGGGGGCAUUUAUUACCCACAAUUGCUACAUAAAUCUCCCUGCAUACACAUACAUAUACAUAAGAGGCGGAUAAAUAUGCGGGGCCGUGCCCACUCUCCCUGAUGGAGUCGACUUGCCCCG